rnacentral:rRNA from 2 species
GUGCGAGACCGAUAGCGAACAAGUACCGUGAGGAAAAGAUGAAAAGAACUUUGAAAAGAGAGUUAAAGAGUACCUGAAACUGCUGAAAGGGAAUCGAAUCGUUUCCAGUGUCUAUAAUCCGUGGCAUAUUUCAUUGGCGAGUGGGUGCGUGCAGCGUUUUGGAAGUGGUUUUCCUCUCCAUACGUUGUUGUGCGUUUGCUUGCUGGUGCCCUGUGUCGCGGUGGGACGUCAGAGUCAGUUUGUAUGCUGCGGGAAAUGGCUGCUAGGGAGGUAGGUCACUUGUGGCUGUUAUAUCCUGGUGUGCUAGUCGUCGUGGUUGAGACUGAGGUGCCUAC